UACGUAGGGGGCAAGCGUUGUCCGGAAUCAUUGGGCGUAAAGAGCGUGUAGGCGGCCCGAUAAGUCCGCUGUGAAAGUCCAGGGCUCAACCCUGGAAUGCCGGUGGAUACUGUCGGGCUCGAAUCCGGAAGAGGUGAGUGGAAUUCCUGGUGUAGCGGUGAAAUGCGCAGAUAUCAGGAGGAACACCAAUGGCGAAGGCAGCUCACUGGGACGGUAUUGACGCUGAGACGCGAAAGCGUGGGUAGCAAACGGG
rnacentral:rRNA from 1 species